rnacentral:lncRNA from 1 species
UUUCUUGUCCUCUUUAUUUUUCAUCACUCCUAGUUUUAAGCCCAUACUUUAAUUUCUCAAUGAUCUCUUUGUCCGUUUAAACCUCUUUAUAAUGACAUUAUACAAUUAUGUAAGUAUACAUAGAGAUCUUUUCUAUAAAAUUUGAUAUUGACAUAGUAUAAAUUAAUGUACUAAUCUAAUUUAAAGAAUGUAUCAAAUCUUUGUUUUCAAAAUAUGUUAAUUAUAGUUUUAUUUCUUUAUAGAUUUAACUGUAACUAAAUCUAUAAGAAAUCUUUUACUGGUGUUGUUAUGAAAAGUAUUUUAUAGGUAUAUCAUAUAUGUUAGAUUUUCUGAACAGAUUUUUUAUAAGUUUUAGGGGUUAGUCUUUAAUCUAAAUUAGAUUACAAUUUAUUUUUAUUUUUUGAUAAUGUAAGCUAACUUUCCCAUAAAAGUUUAUAAGUAUAAUAUUAAACUUUUUUAUAUAAUUUUUAAGAAUUACCUAGUCUAUCUUAAGUAUUUUUAAUGAUUAUUUAAUCAAAAGAAACUCUUUUUUUUUUUCUCAAAUAGUGCAAGUAUCAUCAUUGCUUUUGGACAAACCUUCUUGUUGUGUGUGUGUGUGAAAGGAGAGUCAUAGUGGAUUAAUACAACCCAAUCCAGCCGACGACUCUAAUGAGUUAAGCUCAUAAUGGGUCAAUGGUGAAAGGCCAAGCAUAUUUAUAUAGCAAAUUGGUUAAAUGGUUGAAAACAUAUAUCAAUAAAUCCGAAAAGAUGAAUUAGUCAUAUAUCUGAUCCAGAAACUGGAGUACAAAUUAAAAUUAACCCUCAGUUUUCUUUAAAUAUUACAAGUUUAUGCCACUAGCUUAAACCAUGUUUAACACUUAAAUCAAACCAUUUAAAUCUAAUUUAAAUAACUAACCAAACCGUACGUAGUAGUUAACCCAAACAAACGUCAAUUCAAUAAUAUUACUAAAACCAGAAUUAAUUAAAAAUAUUAACUAUUCAUCACCUCUUCCUUUAAGGAAUCCAAACUCUUAUAAAUUUGGAAUCACACCAAAAAUAGAAUGGCAUCUUAUUAUCGUACACUGCUCCACUAUAAAUUUUUAACCUUCGUACGGCAAACAUAAUCGUACACUGCUCCACUAUAAAUUUUUAACCUUCCUAUGGCAAACAUAAACCAUAUAAUUAUCAUAUAUUCAGUCAAUGAAAAUUCAACAAAUAAUAUAUUAUUAGUUCGUUAUUUUUCGGAUUACAAAGUGAGCAUAAAAACUAAGAAUUGUUUUUUUUUAUCAUUUGAAUAGGAUAACUCCAAUUAUUAUAAUAUAUCAAUCAUUUGGUCAAUAUCGACCAACAAACCUUUUCUAUAUCACAAGCAUUUGGUCAAUAUCGACCAACAAACCUUCUCACGAUACAAUUUGUUUAAAUAUAAUAAUAUAUAAUUAGUUAUAUGGUAAAUAUUAAAAUAUAUAUUUACUAAUUAUAAAAACAAAUAAUUAUUUUGAAUCAAAAAUAAAAAUAAACACCCGCACGGGUGUGCGGGUCGAAAUCUAGUAAUAUAUUAAACUCGCAAUGGAAUAGAACGGAUCAAAGUAUGUCGGGUGAGUCAAUUUUUACCAUAAGUAUAAGGAGUAGGAGGCGUAGAAUAUGCUUUUCUGAUUGUGUUUUAAAAUCUUAAAAUUAACUUUUGUUUAUCAAGCAAGGGAUACAAGCAAUCCGACGAUUUCAUUCAUCAGUCCAAUAGAAAACUAAACCAUUUCGACUCAAUCCACACGACGAACCAUAGAUAUUAAAUUAACUUUUGUUUAUUAUAAAUACUAAGCAUGUCAUGCCGCCGACUUUUAUUUCUUUAGAUAAAUGUAAAACUAUAGAAAUUAUAGUAACUUAGUUGGUGCUGGAGAAGGUUACGCGGAGGACGCCGUAAGUGAUGUUGUAGGUGAUGUCGUUGUUCUUGUACGCCUUGUACUUGAAGAGAAUAGAGCCGUCGUACUCCCUCGCCGCAAACUUGAAACUCAAGCCAACCGCACCAGGUUGAACUUCCUUCGCGGUAAACCGAACUUUGUUGAGAUGGAUAUCGAAUGUGUCCAACUUCGUGCAACCGGGUAUAUCGAUUUUCACCACAAUCUUCCUCUCAGUGGCCGCCUUUAUCGCAUAUGCUUUUCGGCUACCUUGUGUUACACAGGGAUUGAAAUCUAACAAACCAAAAUGUAAAUCAAUUUAACAUUUUGGAAAAAGAAAACAGAAAGAGAUUUUGACAGCAGAUCGAACUUACGCGCAGCAGGGUCAUUUACGAUAUCAUUUUCCUCCUCUAGAUCAAUCACAAAGUGAUUUGGCUCUUCAGCGGAGCUGCUGGAAAAUUCAUUUUUUUCUAGACCAGAUUUAGGGAAAAACAUUGUGUUUUUGUUUGUUUAAGAAAAGAUAUUAGUGAUAUAGAUCGAUGAAUAUGAGUAAUGCGUAUAUAUAUAGGAUUUUGGUACAUACAAUUUAAUGCUUUUUUUCCUUUUCAUUUUGUUAUUAAGAUUUUGCUAAUUCAGAAAUUUUUAUGAUUAACAUGGCAGGUACACUUGGUUUAAUUUGAUUGGUAGGUAUAUUUGGAAUCAUGUGGUUAUUACGUUUGAGUUUAAUUUGAUUGGUUCAAUGCUCAACAACAUGUUAUUUUAUUUUCAUGCAACGUUUUUGUUUAAUGUAUUUUUAUUGGUUCGUGUACUCAUAUUUCCUUUUUGGUCUUUGCCUACGUACAUGUUCAGAGUCUUCAGACCUUCUUCUCGAUUUGGCUUUCCCUUUUCUUUUUUUUUUUGUGUGAGUGAGAGAGAGUUUAAGUAUAUAUGAACAUUUUAGUAAUACCUACAAACAUAAAUUAUGAAUGUUUAACCAACUCUUCAAACCUUCUUCUUGAUUUGGUUUUCCCUUUUCUUUUUUUGUGUGUGUGACAGAGAGUCUCAGUAUAAAUGAACAUUUUAGUAAUACCUACAACAUAAAUUAGAAUGUGCUUUAACCAACUCUUCGAACCUUCUUCUCGAUUUGGUUUCCCUUUUCUUUUUGUGUGUGUGUGACAGAGAGUCUCAGUAUAUAUGAACAUUUUAGUAAUACCUACAACAUAAAUUAGAAUGCGCUUUAACCAACUCUUCGAACCUUCUUCUCGAUUUGGUUUUCCCUUUUCUUUUUGUGUGUGUGUGUGUGUGUGAGAGACUUUCAGUAUGAACAUUUUUAGUAAUUCCUACAAACACAAGUUAUGAAUGCACUUUAACCAACUGUUUUCUUGCAACUCCAAGCCCUCAACAACCUGUCUUGGUUUUUGUAAGAAUGAAGACUUGUAGUUGGUACUAGAUAUAUAGUUCUACUAUAUAUAAAUGUACCCCGAAAACUCAUUUUCACUCAUCUCUCUAUCAUAGCAUAUAGCAUCCUCAAAGAAAAAACAAAAGGAAAACUUCUCAAAAUGAGUACUAUCACGGUUGAAGUGCCGGAUCAUCUAGUAUUGAUUUGCAGGACAACCAACUGACGACGUGUAAGUUCUCAUUUUCUCUUAGGACGAGCUAUUGAUUUUGACCCGACCGUUGCAUCGUACACGCUGAUCAACCAGCUUCACACAUUUUACGCUUUUUAUGAAUACAUCAAACCGUUUGUAAAUUUCUUUUGAUUCGAGUAAAAAUGGAGAAUACGUUUUCCUUAAUGCGAUCGUCUCACCAAUCAUGCAUUUUCAUUCACCCUCUUUUUCUUUUUUUUUUUUCCUUUUUUUUUUCCAAACUAAGAGAACGAGAAGAUCAUCACAUGUCCUCUGAGUUUUCGCGUUUUCGAUCCAUAAAAGUUGAAGGGCUCAUCAUGAAAAUAAAUAAAAGUUGAACAGUAAACGACUUGUCCUCUGAGUUAUAGUAUUUUAGAUCCAUUAACAUAUUAUAUACAUCAAAAGGCUCAUCAUGAAAAGACAUAAAAGUUGAAGCUAAGUUGCAUGUAAUUCAUACGUAUACAGUAAACGACUUGUAACGUUUAUAAUAUAAAUAAUUAUGGCAGGUGAGAAUCCCUUCGUCAAAAGCGGGUGUAAAGGGAUGAUAGAGAUUAUGAAGGGAAAUGGGAUUAUGCUUCGGAUUGACCUCCCGGGGAGCAGGCUUAGGAUUGAUCUCCCUGGGAAUGAUUUGGAAUUCACCAAAGAAGGGGGAAGGCUAAUGCUCACUGCCACCGAAGAUAACGACGUGGACUUCACCCCCCGCACAUAUCGUAUCGAGGUUGUCUACGACCCGGCCCAUAAAAAAGUUAACGUUAUCGGCGGCGGCAGCACCAACGGUGUGAUGUGGAUCCAUUUUAACAUAUAAAGUUUGAUUAAAUUCUAUGUUCGAUGAUAUCAUCUAUUUACAAAUAAAAAAAGAGAGUGUGAAAAUAGUUUGCUUAAUUACUUUGUGCCAAGGAUGAGCCUUGUGAAUUCAGUGUAGUUUGGAUUCAUGCAGUUGAUUUCCUCUCGAGUUGGUGUUCCAAGAACCUAUAAACACACAAUAAGAAAUAGUAACUGCAUGUAAUCAAUGGAUUUAACAUGAUUACCAAAAAAAAACUUUAUUAUUAUUGUUAUUAUUUUCUUUAGUGUUCUAAAUUAUGAGAACAUAUUCUCAUGGGAUGAGUGAGAGAACAUCAUUACCUGAUAUGUAUAGAGUUUGACGUAUAUCAUGGGCAUCCUCUGGUUAGCCCGACUGUAAUGCUUUGAGACGCGAUAGACAGUCUCAGGAAAGUAUUCAAGGACCAAAUUGAGAUACAACUCAUCUUUCUUGGUCGUUGAGAAAAAGCAAUGCUUGAGGGACACAACAUUAGAGCAAUUACAACAGUUUCUGUUGUUUCUAAAGACUCUGCCUGUGUACAAGUAACAAGACCCAUGAAACAAAGUUAACGAACUUUGAGUCUUUGCACCAAUCUCUCCGCUCAGUAAAAUCAACUAUUAAAUGUAUGUAAUCAAAACACCACCUGAAAAACGAUUCCAAAUGAACCUUGUCCAACGAUGCGGUCUUCCAUGUAACUUAAUUAUGGUCUGAAAAACAAAAAACCUAUCAGAGAUUUUAAUUUUAAAUAAAAAAAAUUAGACACUACCGCAACUGCAAGUUCUUUAAUUUUAAAUGAUCUUUCUCUCAAGUUUCUAAUAAACAGUGUUUUAGGCUGACCAUUUUUACCACCAAUUAAUGAAUAAAGGUACAAUUUAAACACUUAACUAACAAAUAUAUUUACAAUUAACUUUGAACAAUAUAAAUAGUUACAUAUUUUUAUUUUUUGUUCUAAGUUAAUGUAAAAAUUUAUAUAUUUACAAUUCAAUUACUAGUUUAUCAUUUUCAUUAAUAGUGAAUAUAUAAUAGAAUUGAAAAUGUACAUUAUAAUAUGUCAUAAUAAAAAUUAAAACAUGUCAUCAUUUUCUCUUCUCAUAGUAAAAAUGAGCAUGAGGCAUAACCAAAAUGGGAUUUUCCUUAAUUUAUAUUUGAAGGUCUGCGACUUCCGAGUCCACGGCGUUUCCCUAUCGUACUCAGAAGCUCCUACGUUUUCGCCGACGCGUGAUUCGCCGGUAAAAAUUGCUAACGAAUUGAGAUCUUUCUGAGAGUGAGAUCGUGUUUUAUUGUUGUUAACGGUAAAUUGCUCGAAGCUCGAAAUGUAGAUCUAUGCCGUAUUCCUCUGUUGAAUCGUUCCGCUUUGAUCUUAUUUCAGCAGUCUGUGAAGUUGACAAGUAGACUUACUCCGAUAGAUUCUUAAUCUGAUGUUUUUUUCCGGUGUGAGUUAGGCUUUAUUCACUUGAAUUCAUCGAGAUCUGUGUGAAAUUUCGAGGAUCUAUUGUUAGGUUGAUGAGCUAGAACUCAGUCUCAGUCUAGGCUUAGUGUGAAUGUAUUACUACGAAGAUUCAGUAUCCUCUAAGCUGUGUGUGUGAAGAAAUUAGAGAAUGUGUUUGUGCAAAGUAGAUUAUUAAUCUUCCAUUGAUUAAUAACUAUUCUUAGGUGACUUAUUUCUACUUUUUUCACGCAGGUAACUUCACAUAUGGCCAGUAAUACGUUAAAAGAUUUGAAUACUCUUUCCUUUAACUGAGAAGAUGAGUGAAUGUAAACCAAUUUUAGCCAAGCCUUGUGUUGGCAAAAUGAAUGGACCAUUACCAAGCUCUGUUGCUUUGCCUCCUAGCGUUGGAGAAUCAGAGAAGCCCGAGGCAGAGAAAGCUGCUACCGUGGAAGUUGAAUACAUUGAGUCCGAGAACUUGGAUAACGUAGACGAUGCUGAUGCAGUUCUCAAGGUAUUUUUUUUUUUCCUGUUUGUUGCUUAUGUGUUAUGGUUUCAUCAAAUCUCAUUUUUCAUUAGUAUAACCCAUAGGUUAUUAUAACUGUGAUAUGAAGCUGUUUACUGGUGUAUCUAUGUAUUUAGAGAUUGGAAGUAUGAUUUUUUUUUUUUUUUUAUGCAAGACGAAUCAGUUUGAUUGAUCUCAUUUUUUUUUCUUUCAGUCGGUUCUAGCUGGUCUGGACUCAAAGGAUUGGGUAUCUGUCUGUGAUGCUCUUAAUAACGUUCGUCGCCUUUCGAUAUUCCACAAGGAAGCAAUGCUGCAUCUGCUGUAAGCCUUUUUCUCUUUAUUAUCUCUUAGAGUAGAUUGUAAAAUGGAAGUUUCAUGAUGAUAUCCCAUUUCACAGCGAGAAAGUGAUCCCACUCGUCGUGAAAUCACUGAAAAAUCCAAGAAGUGCGGUGUGUAAAACGGCGUGCAUGACGUCUGCAGACAUCUUCAGUGCAUACAACGACCAUAUAACAGAUCUGUUGGAUUCUCUGGUAGCUCUUUAUUCAUUCUCUUUAUUGUGUUCGUUGAUUGGAUUUUACUUGUUGUUCUUACAAACGUUUCAUACUCUCUCAGCUUACUCAACUCCUCCUCAAGUCUUCGCAAGAUAAAAGGUUUGUCUGCGAGGCAGCAGAGAAGGCUUUAACAUCAAUGACCAAAUACGUUUCCCCAACUUUGCUGUUACCAAAGCUGCAACCCUGUCUCAAGAACAGGAAUCCUCGGAUCCGUGCAAAAGCAUCGUUAUGCUUUUCCCGAAGUGUACCUCGACUGGUAAUACAAGCUCCUUUCCAGAUAUAUCUCUAAGGCAUCACGUGUUAUGUAACAAUUCAAACAACUCAUUGGAUUAUGCUAUACAUGUUCCAGGGCGUGGAAGGUAUUAAAAAGUAUGGAAUCGACAAAUUAGUUCAAGCAGCUGCGUCUCAGCUUAGUGAUCAGCUCCCUGAAUCUCGGGAGGCUGCGCGGACUGUCCUACUAGAGCUUCAGACCGUGUACGAAAAAUCUCAUCCUCUCAUCAAACCAGAGACAUCGUCAUCAUCAUCGCCAGAGGAAGAGCAAAUCUCAGAGGCAGAGCCAAUUACAUGGGAAAUCUUCUGCCAGUCAAAGCUGUCCGCUCUAAGCGCACAAGCCGUUCUUCGUGUCACCAAUGUUGUGGCAAUGCCUGCUAGGGAGGGGAUGGUUACUACAGGUUCAUCUUCUACAUCAUAGUUAUAAGCCUUCUCUACUACAUUUUCAUUUUUUUUAAAAGUUUGCUACGGAUCAUACGGUUACAUGGGAUUCUCCGGCCAUGAUCAACCAAAUUGGCAAAUUAUGGACCGGUAAAGAGAGUGAAAAUCGGUUAUUAAAAAUCUUUAUUAUUUUUCUGGUUGCGAGUCUUCUUUUGUCUCGAGUCUUCAUCAGUGUUUUGCAUCUAUUUUUUUUUUUUUUUCUUUUCUUAUGUGUAUAUAUUCAUACCAAUGUUUGGUUAGAUAGUCCGAGUAUUUUGUUUUAAUGCAAUUUGGUCGUACCCUGUGACGAUUCAAGUCUGAUUCUUCGCAACAUUAUUGUUUUUUACUUUUUGUAUAUAUGCAUCUUCCUUGUCGGAGUUUUUUCCCUAGAUUAAGCCUUGACUAAUUGUAUUAGAUAGUUUAGCUAAGUCAAUCCACCUUAGUCAUUUACAAGCUUCCAACCCGAGUUUGGAUCCACCCACCCAACACCGGAAGUUGACUUUUAUUAGAAAUAAGAACAAUAUAGAGUCAAAAUACAUAGCUUUCACCUCUACCAAGGAGGGUGAAACAAUAAGGGCAACAUUCUCUAAUAAUUCAGCUCUGCGAGAGCUCGCGGCUUCGAUUAGCUGCAGCAACAACAGCAUUCAUAAGUGUUGCACGGAAAGAACCCUUCUCUAGUUCAUGAACUCCGGCUAUAGUAGUUCCGCCUGGUGAAGUAACAUCAUCUUUCAACACACCUGGAUGCUUCCCUGUCUUGCUCACCAUGGUUGCAGCUCCAAGAACCUGCCAGAGACCAACACCUCAGUUAUUCAAUACCACACAAACAAGAAAAGAAAAUGAAUAAAGAAGCUGUAUGGGUCUGUUCACUGACCGUUUGUGAAGCUAAGCCAAGUGCGAGUUCUCGGGGUAAACCAGCAGCUACUCCCCCAUCAGCUAAAGCUUCAAUGGCUAAGAAUAUGUAUGCUGGUCCACUUCCACUGUAUGGUGUGCAUGGUUAGUUGAUUAGUGGGCGACUUGAACAACUUAAGCAUUGAGAAACCGUUACGUACCUGAGACCAGUAACAGCAUCAAACAUUUUCUCAUCGGCUUUAAACAUCUUCCCCACCGAGCCAAACAACUUAGCAACAAGUGCUCCAUCUUCUUCACUUGCCGCUGUUCCGAGGCUCAUUACUGUUUUACACAAAGACAUAAUUUUCAGCAACCGUAUGCAUAUCAUAAUUUCAAAGAGAAAAGCAACCACACGCAAUUUCAGAAGAAGAAGAAAAAAAACACAAAUAGGGACUCUUAGAGAAACGACCUGAAGCUCCCUCACCAACUGCUGCUGGUGUGUUAGGCAUCACCCUUAUGAACCGAUCUUGGCCAGACCAUUCCUAGCAUGAAAGGAAAAAAAAAAGAAGAAGAGAUCUUUCAGCGUUUCAACCAAAAACGGAAGUCUAGAAACUAACACUGCAACGCCAUUGAUAGUGAUAAUAACCAUUUGUUUCUAUACAAAAGAAUGCAAACCUGUAGAUCUUUCAGCGUAAUUCCAGCUGCAACUGAAACCAGAAGCUUAUCCUUCGUGAGCUUAGACCUUAACUCCGUGAUGGCCUUCUUAACUGCAAUACAACAGGCACAGCUUUAAAUCAGUACAAAGAUAUUCCCCAACUGUAAUUCAUAGAUCAUAGAUCUUAAACAGCUUUCUUUUAAUUCGGUCGUGAUUCGACAGAGAGGUAGACAAACAUACCAACUUGAGGUUUCACAGAGAAAAUCACAACAUCGCUUUCUUCAACGACCUGUCCAUUAUUGAAGAUGGUCAGUUUAACACGGCGACAACGUACCACUAACGUUCAUGAUAGUUGUAUAGACAAAGUUAAAGAGAGAGAUCGGCUUACUUCUUCAUUACUGGAGAAGACAUUGACGCCAAAGGAUUGGAAGACUUCAUGGCGAUCGGGAUUCGAGUGAACGGCGGUUGAGAUAUGAUGCGGAGGAAGCACACCAGAGGCGACGAUACCUCUGGCUAUGCUCUCCGCCAUCUUUCCAGCUCCGAUGAACCCAACCGUCAAGUACUCCAUCGGUAUCUGAUGUUUCUCCAUCGGAAAGUAACGGAUUUGGGUUGCCACUGGUUUCAAGUUAAAAGUGACAAAGUGUUGAAGCGUGCACGUGCACAUCACGUGGCCCAUUCGCUUACCAAGGCCCAAUAAAACACAAAAGAUACAAACUUAUAAGAAACGGCCCGCUUUAAAAAUUAUACAAUCGUGUCGUUCAUGCAAAGAACAGUAGAACAUCAUGGCGUAUUUUUUCUGUCUAAACCAACCGAGAAAACGACACGAACACCUUAAAUCAGAGUCUUGUACACAAGCAGAGCUGGGAAUUUUGGUCAUUACCCGCGGGUCCCGCCCCGUCUGAUCCGCCGCGGGGCGGGUAAGGGUCGAUCGAUUUACAAAUUUCAGCAUGCGGAUGCGGGUGAGGGUUGAGUCGAUUUUUAGCGGGGCGGGUGCGGGUCAACCAAAUUUGAGUCGCGGNNNNNNNNNNNNNNNNNNNNNNNNNNNNNNNNNNNNNNNNNNNNNNNNNNNNNNNNNNNNNNNNNNNNNNNNNNNNNNNNNNNNNNNNNNNNNNNNNNNNNNNNNNNNNNNNNNNNNNNNNNNNNNNNNNNNNNNNNNNNNNNNNNNNNNNNNNNNNNNNNNNNNNNNNNNNNNNNNNNNNNNNNNNNNNNNNNNNNNNNNNNNNNNNNNNNNNNNNNNNNNNNNNNNNNNNNNNNNNNNNNNNNNNNNNNNNNNNNNNNNNNNNNNNNNNNNNNNNNNNNNNNNNNNNNNNNNNNNNNNNNNNNNNNNNNNNNNNNNNNNNNNNNNNNNNNNNNNNNNNNNNNNNNNNNNNNNNNNNNNNNNNNNNNNNNNNNNNNNNNNNNNNNNNNNNNNNNNNNNNNNNNNNNNNNNNNNNNNNNNNNNNNNNNNNNNNNNNNNNNNNNNNNNNNNNNNNNNNNNNNNNNNNNNNNNNNNNNNNNNNNNNNNNNNNNNNNNNNNNNNNNNNNNNNNNNNNNNNNNNNNNNNNNNNNNNNNNNNNNNNNNNNNUUUAUUAAAUUUAAUAUUAUCUGCGGGCCCCGCGGGUUACCCGCAAUCUUAGCGGGGCGGGUGCGGGUUUACGAUUUUUCUUUCGCGGGUUAUGCGGGUCGGAAUUUUGAGUUUAAAAAACAGAGUCGAUCCGCGGGUUGGCGGGUCAUGCGGGGCGGAUUGACCCGCGAACCCAGCCCUAUUUUUGACACCAAGCAAAAGGGUUACAAUUCUUCAUUAUUUUCUUUUCUCUUUGAUUUUCUUUUGAGUAUGAGAAUAUACACAAAAUUAGAUUCGUCAGGUUUAUGAUAGAGUGACGCAAAUCAGAAGAUUUUUGCAGUUGUAUCCUGGGACUCAUUAGGUUAUCGAAUCGUCGCAUUACGGAACGUAUUUUGAGUUAAGGAAAGAGAUAAUAUCUUGACUCUGCAGUUAUAUCAUUUUUUUUAAUCUUUGGUAUAAUCUUAUCAUAUUCUUUACAAUAAUCAGCUUAGUUUAUAUAAUAUGUUAGUUUAUAUAAUAUGGUUCUAACGGUUUGGAUUAGUUCACUGUUUAGCUAUACACAUAUACAGACUACAGUAGUAUGCUAAGAAAAGGCCUAAUAUAGAAUAAGUAAUCACGUACACUACUAAUACUGUUUUUUCAAUGUAUGAAAUCUAUGAAAACGUCAAAAUUUCAUUUCCGGCAUUAUUUUUUCUAAUCAAAUACAGUAUUGCUGAAUAACAUAUGAGUUAUUAGAAAUUUUUUAUUCCAUCUUUUAUUUGAAUUAUUGAAUUAAAUAACGAGCUAGUUAAUAGUAUCCUCCAUGAGGUUUGACAAGAAUUAACUUCUAGAAAGAAAGAAAAAAUGUGUAUACGACAAAAUUUUGCGUAACGCCUUGAUGCAAUGCAACAAGUUUCGUCUCUAUUUUCCUAAGACGCUCAGUUUAGGAGAAGGACACAUGGCCAAACACGACUAACGAGGACGGCUUGUUUACAAAAUUUAGUCUGUAACGCUUAUCCUUCUCCUGAAUCCAUGAACCAUGCAUUAAAUAUAGUAUCACAUACUGACAUACGCCUCAUAUAUAAAUAACACUUGCAAACACACAUGUAUUUGUUUUGUAACGUAAAAUGUUUUUUCUUGUUGUUUAGCUUAGAGCAUUUACAGUAGAUAAUAAAAUGAUAAAAUUUAUAUUAAAGUAAGCAAGGAAUCAUAAAAUUGAAUCUAUUGUAGGAUGAUAUUACUAGGUAAGAGUUGUAUUAGUUUCCGAGUGAAAUGAUAUCAACUAUAAGAGGCAAAUUUGAAUAAGUGGAGAUUUCUUGUUCUUCAGUUUGUUCCUUAAUUUAUUAUUUUAGCAGGGUUUCUAGAGUAAAAUUUAUCACGCUAUGGACUUUUAUUACCAGAGAAACUGAUACGAAACACGUGUCCAAAAAGCUGUAAAUGAAUGAAAGAAAACGUUUGCCUGGUACAGUCUUAACUCUUUAAUAUUACUCCCAUAUUUAUCACUUAAUGUGUUAACACUGUUUUUUAAAAGUGCAUAUAUUAAUAAAUCAUUUAGGAUCUGAAUGGUUUACGAACCACACCGCCGUUAACCAGUAACAAAAAUCUCUAAAUAUGCAUACAUAUUUAUAUGUUUUUAUGACUAUUAGAACCACAGCGCAAUUGUUCCGCAAUUUAUAUGUUACCACUGGAACUCUUAGUAAAGUUUGGGUGACUGUAUCAAGAGUAUCUCCGAUCUAAAACUUUAUUUUUCGUAUUUCUAUAAUGAAGUUGUGUUUAUUCAUAUUUUAUUAUAUUUUGGAGUAAAAAAUAGGGCGAUGAACAAAAAACAAAACUGUUACUUCAUUUAUGGAGUAAAUCCAUGCUUAUUCAAUUAUGAAAUAAAAAAUAGAAUGAAAUUAAUUAUUUCUUACUUAAAUUAUAUUUUAAAGUAAAUUACGAAGUUGAGGUGGAACACAUCAUUAAAACAUAUAUCAAUUUAGGUGCCACAUUUUCAAUGUUUCAUUUUUUAUUUGCAAACAUGUAAAUUUCUAUGUUCAUUUUCUUGAGUUCAUAGCUUCAAGCCUUCACUUCAUAUGUUUUUACUUUUCACUAAACAAAGGCAGUUCAGAUCUAGUCUACAAUGAAUUGAUUUUUUUUCCUACAAUGAUUAUUUUCUGUGUGCUGUUUUAUUACCUGUCUAACCGCUGAUUCCAUCGAAAGAAUGCUCUGAUGUCCUCUUUUUUUAUCAGCAAAAUAACUAAAGAAACAUCCAUAUGGAAUGUUACAAUGAAAAAUUACUUUCUGAAGUUCAAGUCAUAAAACAAUAACUAGCUACAUGCAUGUUGGAACCAUAAAAACAAUGACAUUCAAGUUAAAAAAAAAUGUUUUCUACGACUAUACUAAUAUUUACUUUCUUGAACCAUAAGUCAAAAACGUAAUAACUAUUUUUGGAAACAGAAUCAAGUAAAAGUCAGUCGGCCCUAUAAAUAGACUUGUAAAAAUCAACGUAAAGAAAACAAAAACUAUGGCAGUUUCAUCACCUCAUCACGUGGUUCUCUGCCCUUACAUGUCAAAGGGCCACACCAUCCCUCUCCUCCAAUUCGCCCGUCUCCUCCUCCUCCGUCACCGCCGUGUCAUCUCCCCCUGUGACCAAAGCAAAGAACCAACCAUUUCCAUCACCGUCUUCACCACACCACAAAACCACCCCUUCAUCUCAAACUUCCUCUCCGACGUCUCAUCAUCCACCAAAAUAAUCUCCCUCCCUUUCCCGGAAAACAUCGCCGGUAUCCCUCCCGGCGUCGAGACCACCGACAAGCUCCCUUCCAUGUCGCUCUUCGUGCCCUUCACGCGCGCAACAAAGUCUCUCCAGACUCUCUUCGAAGAAACACUCAAGAAUCUUCCACACGUUUCUUUCAUCGUCGCCGAUGGGUUCCUCUGGUGGACGCUGGACUCCGCCGCUAAGCUCGGUAUCCCGAGCCUCGCGUUCUACGGCAUGAACAACUACGCGUCAGCUCUCUUCUCCUCCGUAUACGUACACCAACUCUUUACUAAACAGGAAAUUAUUAAAUCCGAAACCGAACCGGUUACUGUACCGGAUUUCCCAUGGAUAUCGGUUAAGAAGUGUGAGUUCUCACCUAUUUUUACCCACCCGGAUAGAUCGGGUCCAGAGUUUGAGCUAUUCAUGGACCAGAUAGUGUCCACGGGGAAAAGCCGUGGAGUCAUAGUUAACAGUUUUUACGAGCUCGAAUCAACGUUCGUUGACUUCCGGCUCCGUGAUAGCGAUGGCCCCAAACCGUGGUAUAUUGGACCUUUGUGUUUGGUGAAUCCAGAUAAACCGGAAAGUGAUAAACCGAGUUGGAUUCAUUGGUUGGACCGGAAACAAGAGGACAAAUGUCCGGUUUUAUAUUUGGCGUUUGGAACGCAGACGGAGAUUUCAAAAGAGCAGCUCAAGGAAAUAGCAUUAGGGUUAGAAGAUUCCAAGGUACGUAUGUAUAACCGUCGAUGCCAAAAUAUGAAUAACUAAUGGUUACAAAAAGUAUUAUAUCAUGUUCUAAUAAUAAUUUACUAGUAGAUGCUAAAAAAAUAAUAUUUACAAGUAUAUUGUACUCCCUCUGUUCCUGAAAGUAAGAUUUUCUAGAGUAUACACGCUUAUUAAGAAUUUAAUAAAUGUUUAUAAUUUAAUUUAUUUUUUACUUGAUUAUACACUUUCCAAUAACUUUCCACCAAUGAAAUUUAAUCAAUUCAAAUAUUCUCAAUUAAUGUUCCUCAAAAGUAUAAAAAAAAUAUUUUAACAAUAUAGAAAAUCUAUCUUUGUGGAACAGGAAAAAAUCUAAAACAUUUUACUUUCAGGAACAAUUUAAUAUUUCUGAAUGCGAAAAACAUACUAGUGGUUGACAUUAACUGUCACCGUUGUAUUCAUUAAUGCAUGUAUGGACAGAACAUGCAUUAUUUUGUUAAUUUACGUGGCCUUUGAUUGAUUAAUGCAAAGGUUAACUUCUUGUGGGUCACGAGAGUGGACGUGGAGGAAUUGACUGGAGAAUUAGGGUUCGAAAAGAGAGUGAAAGAUCAUGGGAUGAUUGUGAGAGAUUGGGUGGAUCAAUGGGAGAUAUUGUCACAUGAAAGUGUCAAAGGGUUUUUGAGUCAUUGCGGAUGGAACUCGGCGCAAGAGAGUAUUUGCACUGGAGUUCCGUUGCUGGCUUGGCCAAUGAUGGCUGAACAGCCACUCAAUGCGAAGUUGGUAGUGGAAGAGCUAAAGGUUGGUGUAAGGAUCGAAACGGUAGAUGGAAGUGUGGAAGGGCUAGUGACAAGAGAAGAACUUAGUCGAAAGGUAUACAUAUCAAAUUGUUUUCAAUGAAUUUAAUAUUAGAUUAUGGCACUAAUUAUACUUGUCUUUAACUAUUUCAUUUUUUAUUUGUACCAUUUUAGGUUAAAGAGUUAAUGGAUGGAGAUAUGGGGAAGACUGUGAGGAAGAAUGUGAAAGAAUAUGCAGAAAUGGCGAAAGAAGCUUUGGCUCAAGGGACUGGUUCGUCUUGGAAGAAUUUAAAUUCACUCCUUGAAAAACUGUGUGUGAGUAGAGAGACUAAUGAUGUUAAUAAAUUGUCAAGCGAUAACUAGAGAGAUUUAGCAGCGCUAGACAACCAAACCUGAUUGUACCAUGGUGCUCAUUACUCAUUAAUUAGAACGUAAUUUGGUUUGGUAUGGGACUUGUUCAUAGUAAUAACGUUAUGAUCUUUUUCAAUUCACAGUAAUGACACUACAAAGCGGUGGGGUUUAUGAGCCUUGUCAGUUGUCACAGUAAUAACGUUAUGAUCUAUUUCAAUUCACAGAAAUAUCAGGAGAGAUUGAGAAAGCCUUUUUUGCUAAUAAGCUAAAACAUGUAGCGAUUUACGUUCCAUAAUGCCGGUCCAACAUUUUCAAAAUUUUCUUGAUGCCCCAAACUCACUUAAAAUUUCAUAUCCUUGUUAUUCAUGCAAAUUUUUUUAAUAAUACCUCCUUAUAUACAACUAAAAUUAUCGGUUAAAAUCAUGAUGUCCUAAACAUUCGGUUCAUUUGCCAAUGCUCCAGACCGGCCAUGAGUUCCACCAUUCAUCCAAAAGAUGGAGAUGUUGCCAUGGAAGGUCUUAAUUAUGUCUCAGCCGUGAUUGACACUAACUAUACAGCCCCAGAAUACGUUGUCCCUUCCUACCAUAAAGUUGUUAAUGUUGAUAUUGAUGUUCAACAAAAUCCCACAAUGUCCACUCUACUCUUAACCAGCUGAGGUGUAUGUGUGGGCUUUUACUUCAGAUGGCCCAACUACUUAACACGCUUCGACCCAUUUAGUGGAGUCGUGUCGUUUUGAGGCCCAGCUUUGGAAUUUCUCGAGGGUGUUUAUGUCUUUGGACAUGCGGGUGGAUAAUGUGAGCAUAGAGAAACAGAGUAACCUUAUCGAGUGAAGAAGAUUGGGUUAGUAGUAGUAAGCAAAAAUGGCGUCGAUUGCAGCAUCUCCUAGCUUUCACUCGCUUUCAACAUUCAAAAGCCCUAACCUUUCUUCGACCCAUCUUCUUCCUCUAUCGAAAAACCUCACCUUUCGAACCAGACCCAUCGGGAACAGCAGAGUUUGCAGCUUUUCUGCGUUUACGAAACAGAGCCGCCUUGGGUUGAUGAAGCUUUCGUGCCUUGGAGAAGGAGGAGGAGAAGACGGCGUUGCAAUUGCAGAUGAAGAGCAACAACAACAACAACAGCAAGAGACUGUCUCUGUUCCUGUCUCUCCUUCAGACAUGCUCACCAUGUUCUUUCAGGUACAUUGUUAUAUAAGAGCUUAGAAACGAAUAUUAAUGCACAGCCGUAUUUAAAUUGCCUUGAGGAUCAUGCUAAGUACUACACUCUUGCAAUUUCAAGUGUGGCCUCAUAUUGAGUCUGACCAUUGUUGGCUUUUUUUGGGGGUUGAUUCCGAAGGCUGAUGGAACUUUGAACGAAGCAGCUAUUCCUAAUGUCACAAAGGCCUUACAGGUAAAAUGCUUUGCAAGAAGAUCUCUCACUGAACUAGCGAAUCUGUUCAGAGCUAGAGGAGAAUCUUUGUUGAAUGCAUCUGUUUCUCUUCUGUUUCUUGGCUUAUAUAAAACCAUUUUGGUUACUUGUUUAGAUUCACUCCAAUCUCUGUGUUCACUUUACUCUUGAUGUCUUCUAGCUCUUCCUUAACUCCAAGUUUAGAUUUUAAUAGCACUGAAUAAAGGCAAAUAUCAAAUCGUGUUUGUUCUCUCAGGACAUAGAUGGAGUUUCCAACUUAAAAGUUCAAGUUUCUGAAGGUGUUGCCGUUGUUGAGGUAUGUCCACAUCCAACAUUCUCUUGAUACAUUGCCUUUACAUGCCUAAGCAGUAAGCACACACAAGGAUAGACUUUGAAUAUGUAUGGCAAUGGCAUAGAUGUAUGCUGAGUAUGGGGUUUUGUUUUAGAUAUUAGUAGUGGUUAACCACGGGAUUAGUCUUCAGGGCCGCAUAAGAAAGUUGGAUCGGGCCUGAACCUUGAAAAGCUGAGGGCUUUUUAUAGGAAUAGUUAUGUUAUGGCUGCAUGAAAAUCAGAACAUCUCUGUGUUUAAUGUUUGGAUUAGACUAUGGAAUCUGACUUGUGUUAUGUUAUAUGUGUGUGUAUUUGAAGCUUUCAAAGCAAACAACGGUUCAAGCAACAGGAGUGGCGUCAAGCUUGGUGGAGACUAUACAAGGAGCUGGCUUUAAGUUACAAACUUUGAAUCUGAGCUUUGAAGACGAAGACGAGGUUCUUGUCUAAUAAUUGAAUCAUGUUUCUCCUGCUCCAUUUUGUGAUUAAAGCAAACACAUUAAUGUUCAAUGUUAGGAUCACUUUCUUUAAUUCAUUUGUUCCUCGCAAGAAGACAACGUAGUAGAUUAGAAAAAGUGGGAAUUUAAUAUUUUCGUUUGCUUAAAAGAAGAAAUAUAAAAACAAGAAAAUAUAAUAAUUCAUAUGUCAGAAUGGGUUCCCACAAAGCAUGGAGGUUUAGAAUUUUAUAGACUUUUGGGUUCCAUGCUUUAAACAAUGCAUGUGGUUGUGUGUCAGUGUGUACAUAGUAAAAUAUAUAGUGAAUUACAGCUCAAACAUUGUUGUACUUGCAUCUCUCGUAAUGAUACAUUUCUGUAUCUUUUUCUAUUAGUUGUACAUUGCAUUUUAUAGUUUAUGAUGUCGUAAAAUCUAUUUUAUCACAUACAAUAACAGUUUUAAAAGGUAUGAUUAAGAAGAAGAAAGCAUUCAUUCCUGAAAUUAUUUUUGUAAUCACGCACGACCCUAUAAUGAUAAAAUCUUUACGCGUGUCGACUUCGCUAUAAUUAACUGUUACCUUGUUUCCGAUUUAUUAGAAAAAAGUUAAUCGAAACAAUGUAAAUGACCCAUGUGCUCUGGUCCAUCUUUGAUUUGAUAACACUUCAGAUUUUUAUAAGGACAUGUAAAAGCAUACUAUAACGUAGAUAUUUGAAAUCACUUUGCUGCAUGUUAGCAAAGCUAGAUAAAACGACAAGGGGUUUUUCACUGGUGCAAUAAUAUAAGCGACACAGCUUUAUGGGCAAAUUGAAUGCUAUUUACUGUUUAUCCUAAAAACAAGUUUAUUAAUGUCAAAUUGCCUUCCACUGGUUUCUUGGGGUACGCAAACAUAUCCCAAUAUUUUCACCAUAGUUCAUAGAGUUAAUAAAAUUAAUUAUUUGUAUUGGUAAAAGUACUCCAAGUUGCUACACGAAUAAAAAGGAAAGUUCACCUAUUACUCCUUCCGUUUUUUUAUAUAAUUCGUUUUAAAAUUUUACACAUAAAUUAAAAAAACAUUAAUUUUUUAUAUUUUCUAAACAAAAAUAUUAUUAAUUAUUUAUCUAACUACAAAUUAACCAAUAAUAAAAUAGAAAGUAUAUUAUCAUUGGUCAUAUAAUAUUAAAUAUUAAUAAAUUUUACAUAGAAAAUCAAAAAUGUUAUAUAAUUCAAAACAUAUUUUUUUAUUUAAAACGAUUUAUAUUAAAAAACUGACGAGUAUGAUAAAUUAUCCUUUUCAUGUACUAUUUAUUAUCUAUACAACCCAUUUUGGGAAUCUGAUAUGUUGUUCCUCGGGGUCUGAGAAAUUAUGAUGCAGUGAAAGUUCAAAGCUGGCAUCCAUAUACAAUAACUACUCUGGGCCUAGCACUUGGUAUGGAUUAAAAUUAUUUCUUUGUAUUUUAUGGAUAAUAACAGGAAUUAAUAUUAUUUUAAUGAAAGAACUUCUAUUUAUAGCACAAAAGGCCAUUGCUCUUCAACAUGAGACUUCAUCACUUCCUCACCUCACACAGAAUGGCUCUCUCGCUUCUUUUAGUCUUCACCUUUCUUCAAGUCUUUACCAAUGUAAGUUAUUAGUAAUUUUAAUGUUUUCAAUUCUAUUUAGUGUGUGAAAGACUAGAAAUAGACCUCAAAUAGUAUCUAUUUACCCGCAUUAUGUGUUUGUACAUUUCAACUAACUAUAUAUUUUGAUUAAUCACCGAGCAGGUUGUUUCUGCUGCUUCAAAAGAGGAGUCCAAUGCAUUAGUAUGUUUCUAAAUUUCUUAUUUCCGCUCUAACUAUUUAAAUGUGUAUACUCUAAGCAUUGGUUAGGCUAAUAUACUAUUUAUUACAUAAUAAAGGUAAAACUGCUUUUCUAAAAAAAAAGGUUUUUAAACUUGGUAUUCCAAUGCAAUUGACAGGUUUCUUUACCUACGUCACCGACGUCCCCGGCAAUCAAACCACCGUCUCCGUCAUACAAGCCACCAUCAUUUCCUACUACUCCGAUUAAACCACCGACCAUUACACCACCAGUCAAACCCCCAACCACUCCGGUUCCACCCACAUCACCACCUACGUACAAACCUCCAACUGUUAAACCACCUACAACAACACCAGUUAAACCACCACCGGUUCAACCACCUUACAAACCCCCAACUCCACCGGUUAAGCCACCAACGUUAUCACCAGUCAAACCACCACCUGCCUACAAACCCCCUACACCAACGGUUAAACCACCAACAACACCAUCGGUUCAACCACCUAUGUACAAACCCCCAACGCCACCUGUUAAGCCACCCACGAUACCACCAGUCAAACCACCUACAGCGCCGGUUAAACCAACCCCAAUACCUCCAUAUAAGGCACCACCGGUCAAACCAACCCCACCACCGCCAGCUAAACCACCAG